UGACAGAGCAAUAGGUGAAGACGCCUUUUCUCCAUUGCGGUCGCUUUGUGGCUCCACAGCGCCCCCAUCUGCACAAACAUCACAAUCAUUAUAAACGGUCAGCUUGUCAGAAUGUUCCCUUUGAAGGCUGGAAAUAUGAGACAACAUCCAGAAGGCAGGACAGUAGUAGGAGGAAGAGGACUUAAGGCCUCAGUGGAAUAUUUACUUCCAUAGACAUGGUGCUCACCUAGAUGGACUGGACUGUACAGAGCAUUUCUACUGGACCAUCCAUAGCCUUCCUGUGGGUUUUGUGCUGAAGAAAAGAACCUGCUGGGUGUUUAAUUAGCAUAAUAUUAACAACAACAGGCAAACUCCUUAAAUUGUUUGUGUAGUUCACGGGUUUAUGCGUAUGUAUGUGUGUAUGUAUGUAUAUAUGUAUAAUAAUAAAAAUAAUGCAUUUUACUUAUAAGGCGCCUUUCUGGGCACUCAAGGACACUGUACAAAAUCAAAACAAUAAAAUCAAUUGGCUAAAAAC